rnacentral:rRNA from 1 species
UACAGAGGGUGCAAGCGUUGCUCGGAAUUAUUGGGCGUAAAGGGCAGGUAGGUGGUCUCAUUUGUCUGGGGUGAAAUCCUUGGGCUUAACCCAAGAAGUGCCCCAGAAACGGUGAGACUGGAGUCCUGGAGAGGGUCGUGGAAUUCCCGGUGUAGCGGUGAAAUGCGUAGAGAUCGGGAGGAACACCAGAGGCGAAGGCGGCGACCUGGGUGGUCGCUGACGCUGAGAGGCGAAAGCCAGGGGAGCGAACGGG